CUUUUCCCCUUACCCAAUAGGCUUGGAUGCCAUGUAACCACCAUGGAGGCUGGGUCGAAGACAAGCAAAUAGUGGUGGAAUCGAUCUGAAGUUCAAGCUCUAUGAGGUAAAUGCAGGUAAGGGAUUGAGGAGAAGAGGCAGCUUGCUGCCUGCUGAAAUGGACCAGAGGUAUCUGCUAUACUUUGAAGGAAAUCACAAGGACAUCUGCGGAUGCUGGAAAUUCAAGCAACACACACAAAAUGCUGGUGGAACGCAGCGGGCUGGGCAGCAUCUAUAGGGAGAAGUGCUGUCGAUGUUUCGGGCCGAAACCCUUCGUCCUGUAUUCUGAACAGGGGAGGGGGGGAGGACGUCACGUGAUGACGUAGGAUCGAGACGUGGAAAUCCAGCUCACCCGUAAAAAAACUGUAAAAUAAUGUUUAAGUGAAGAAAAGUUAGUAAAUACCUUUUAAAAAUUACUUACAAACUACUCAGGAUUGUCUUAAGUUUUGCCUCCUAAACAGAAGCAGAAGAAUACUACAGCUUUGAAGACAACACAAGUUGGAAAAGAAUUAAGGUCGGCCAGCAUGAAAGAACCUCGGGCUCAAGUGCAAUUUACCUCCGGCGAUACAGAACAGGAAACUGCGGCAACAUCAACCAUUUCAAGAAAAAAAAGAGCAACAGGAAUUGCGCAUGUGUGAAGGAAGGGGCACGCGCAAACACGAGCAACCCAAACUACAAAUCCCAGCUAUGAUCGGAACUGAAAGUGAAAGUGAAUAUGAGGUGGAAUCAGAUUCUCUGGAUAAAUCAGAUGAAGAUGAAGAGACAAACAAAGAAGAGCAAAAGGAAGAGGUUGGAGGUGAUAUUGAAAACAUAAAAAAAAACUUUGGUGCAAAUAAUGCAUGAAUUAAAAGCAUUAAAAGUAAUAAAAAGUAUUCUUUUUACUUUUUUCCCAGGCAACUCUUAGGUUUUUUCUGAUCUCAUAUCCGUUCCUUUAUUUUUUGCUUCUCUAACGUAAAUCAUCCCUGUCUUUGUUUCAACUCACACAUAUACGAUUUCCUAAUUUGUCUCUUUGCUAAUCUCUCUUUUACCACCUGUAACAAUGUAACACACAAAAUAAAUCUAUCAAAUAAAAUUCCAUGCACUCAACAUUCCUGUUUUCAGUGGUUCCCUUUGUAGAAAAAUGUCACUUUUACAAUUCCCAUCCCUGUUUUGGGAUUCCUUUAGGACCUCAAUUCUCCCUAUCACUGAAACAUUGAGACAUCUUUGACAGCUUCGCACUCGAUCAGUUUCAGCCACUUGCGUGUCUCCCAUUUUCAUUUUUCA